CCUACGGGAGGCUGCAGUGAGGAAUAUUGGUCAAUGGGCGGGAGCCUGAACCAGCCAAGUCGCGUGAGGGAUGACGGCCCUAUGGUUUGUAAACCUCUUUUUCCGGGGCGCAAAGUGCCGCACGUGUGCGGUUUGGAGCGUCCCCUGAGAAAAAGCCUCGGCUAACUCCGUGCCAGCAGCCGCGGUAAUACGGCGGAUUCGAGCGUUAUCCGGAUUUAUUGGGUUUAAAGGGUGCGUAGGGGGAAGAUUAAGUCAGCGGUAAAAGUGCGGGGCUCAACCUCGUCGAGCCGUUGAAACUGGGUGCCUUGAGUGGGCGAGAAGUACGCGGAAUGCGUGGUGUAGCGGUGAAAUGCAUAGAUAUCACGAAGAACUCCGAUUGCGAAGGCAGCGUACCGGCGCCCAACUGACGCUGAAGCACGAAGGCGUGGGUAUCGAACAGGAUUAGAUACCCUAGUAGUC
rnacentral:rRNA from 1 species